rnacentral:lncRNA from 1 species
UGAAUGAGAGAGGAGACUUUCCAAGUUCAUUUGAUAGGCGCUGAAAGGCCUAGAAAUAGGUGAGAGAGAAGUCGAGGUGGAGCGAGGGAAUGAUCACUAGUCUUUAGUCCCUUUCACUUGGGGGUACAGCUAUGAUGAAGUCGGAUCCUCAAGAUCCUAUAAGAGAGAUGACGAUGAUGACAACAUGUCCUUCUCCUAGGAAAUCGGGUUGUCAUACCAACUUCGUGAUGCCCAAAGUUCUUUGAUAUGAAAGGAUGGACAGAGGGAAACAUAUCAAUUUUGAAAUGCAGAGCUUUCUACUUAACUUAUUAAUUGGAGGGGUCAAGAAGUGAACAAGCUCCA